AGCGCAGGCGGUUGUUUAAGUCUGAAGUUAAAGGCUGUGGCUCAACCAUAGUAUGCUUUGGAAACUGGACAACUUGAGUGCAGAAGGGGAGAGUGGAAUUCCAUGUGUAGCGGUGAAAUGCGUAGAUAUAUGGAGGAACACCGGUGGCGAAAGCGGCUCUCUGGUCUGUAACUGACGCUGAGGCUCGAAAGCGUGGGAGCAAACA
rnacentral:rRNA from 1 species